CCCUAAAAAAAUGAUAAUGCAUACGUGCAACAAGUUUCUCACUGUUGUUUAUCUAACAAUUCGAGCAUACAGUGCAUUUUAUUGUUCAGAUUAUCGAGUCACGGGAAAUCGUUUUUGGGUCGUUUUCGGGUGGAAAGGAGACGCGUCUGACGGCAACCCUCGUCGCCCGCCCCCGCCGCCAUCGCCCGCCUCCGCGCCGUCUCCGCCCGCCCUCGACGCCCGCGACCUCCGCUGGCCCGCUGCCCGCUUCUGCUGUCCCUCGCGUCGAUAAGGGUUUCUCCGACUUCUCCGGCCGGCCGUGGGCUGGCUUUGUCGCCAGUAGAGAGAUGGCAGUUCACUCCCUGUUUGGAAGGGAUGAAGCAUGUCAAGUCGGACAGCGGGGUGAUGAAGCAUGUCAAGUCGGACAGCGGGGUGAUGAAGCAUGUCAAGUCGCCAAACCCUUCCUUGAUGUCUGCAAGCAAAUCUUGUCUGUCUUGGAUAAAUUUGGAGCUGCAAUGGCAAUUGUGAAGAGUCCCUUUGGUGGUAAUGUCACGUUCGCCGUCAUGGACACGACGACCUCGUAGCUUCCAAAAUCCAUCGCCCCUUCUCAGUCCAACGAUCACGAGGUGCUCGGCUGUCAAACGAUUCACCUGAUUUGGUCUCUCUCGCCUUCUCUGUGAUGUUUUUGUUGAGGGAGACGACGACGGUAUGAAACUUCACGAAGAUCAACGCCGGCGACGAGGAGUAAUGGAGUUGUACAGUGCACGAGGAAACCAUUUUCAUCAGGACAAAAAUACUGCAAACAAUCUCCACGGACAUGGAUAUGAUCUGGGGACUGACUCGUGUUAUUUCUCGCAUCAAUCACCCUCCGCCGGCGUCAAUGGUGUAGUCAGGAUUCAAUUAGAUGGUGGGACAAAGUGAUGCAAGUUUAGAAAUACAACUUUGGCUGGUGUUAUCAAUGGUUGUCAGCUAUCUUCCAGCAGCAUAGCAACAGAUUGAGUGGUACUAGCUAGCCAGGAUUAUUUCGCAGCCUUGCUCAUAACGAUCGUUGGAUUGACAAGGAGUGGUGGAUUUUAGAAGCCAUGAGCCCAUGACAGAGCACGUCAGACGAGCCGCUUGCCCGCUUCCCGCCGUCAGAGGUGUGGGUGGACCUGUCGCCGGAAGCAGAGAAGAUGAAGGUUCUGUGUCGGCCUGUUCAUCAAGGCCAUACGACUAACCUUCUCAUAAUCACAACCAGGGGCAGUUGUGCAGUUGGAGAAACGUGUGUCCAUCGAGUUGAGGCGAACGUGCAGGCGGAAACUGGAUAUGGACUCGUGGCAACUGGCAUGGGACAUGGGCUUGGAUCUAGGCCACCGGAUAUUCUCUCCUAGGCCCUGGAGCGGCGGGCGUGGAGUAAGCAUGUUGCUUUGAGAUCCGUGAAGAAAAAAAGGAAAAGCACAGAAGCACUUCCUGAAAUGGGACAUACUGAAAUAUAUUUUCAUAGUAUCAUUAUUCGAUACAGCGUAUGCUGAUAUUUUUGUUGUAAGCUUGGUUAAACUUCAGACAGUCAAAAGUUAUAUGCCUGAUAUUUUGGAACGGUGGGACCAACCAACAAGGACUACAAGCACCGUAUAAUUGCACGAAAAGUUUUGCAUCUCGUUGCACUGAUA